GACAGAGGGUGCAAACGUUGUUCGGAAUAACUGGGCGUAAAGCGCGUGUAGGCGGCUAUGUAAGUCGGGCGUGAAAUCCCACGGCUCAACCGUGGAAGUGCACCCGAAACUGCGUAGCUAGAGUCCUGGAGAGGAAGGUGGAAUGCUUGGUGUAGAGGUGAAAUUCGUAGAUAUCAAGCGGAACACCGGUGGCGAAGGCGGCCUUCUGGACAGUGACUGACGCUGAGACGCGAAAGCGUGGGGAGCAAACAGG
rnacentral:rRNA from 1 species